rnacentral:rRNA from 1 species
UGGGGAAUAUUGCACAAUGGGCGCAAGCCUGAUGCAGCCAUGCCGCGUGUAUGAAGAAGGCCUUCGGGUUGUAAAGUACUUUCAGCGGGGAGGAAGGCGAUAAGGUUAAUAACCUUGUCGAUUGACGUUACCCGCAGAAGAAGCACCGGCUAACUCCGUGCCAGCAGCCGCGGUAAUACGGAGGGUGCAAGCGUUAAUCGGAAUUACUGGGCGUAAAGCGCACGCAGGCGGUCUGUCAAGUCGGAUGUGAAAUCCCCGGGCUCAACCUGGGAACUGCAUUCGAAACUGGCAGGCUAGAGUCUUGUAGAGGGGGCUAGAAUUCCAGGUGUAGCGGUGAAAUGCGUAGAGAUCUGGAGGAAUACCGGUGGCGAAGGCGGCCCCCUGGACAAAGAGUGACGCUCAGGUGCGAAAGCGUGGGGAGCAAACA